rnacentral:lncRNA from 1 species
CAGAAUUGAGCUACCAUUAACGGUGGUGAUGGAAAUCCUCUCAAAGCUUCCAGUUAAAUCCCUCAUACGUUUCAGGUGCGUUUGUAAGCCGUGGUGUUCUUCUUUUCAAACCUCUCAUUUCAUUACCAAACAUCAGCAUAACGACCUCAAAAACAACAACCUUAAUCUCCUCCUCAAACGUUGUCAUGGUAACACACGUGAUGACAUCCAUUAUUUCUCUGCACUUUCAACUGAAAAAGGCCUAAACUUUUUAGUAAAAGAGAACAUCCACUUACCCUUUUUUCAGAAUUGUUGGUUUGCUCCUGUAGUUUCUGGUCCUUCUAAUGGAUUGCUGUGUUUAACAUGACGCGGUAGGUUGCCCUGUUGGAACCCAUCAACCAGAGAGUUUAAAAUCCUUCCUCAAUCCUCUGUGAGCGCCCUCCUUCCGUAGAUUCCACUAGUUUUGGUUGCCUUGGGUUUGGGUUUGAUUUCUAAACUGAUGACUACAAAAGUGUAAAGAUUUGUUAACUAAUUAUUUUGAGGAGAAUGAAAGAGGAAGGCUUUCUAGCUGAUUGGAACCACCAAGUGAGUUGUAUUCACUUCAAGUGAUUCCUGUGAAGGAAAUUUCAGUUUCCUGAGGCACAUCCUUAUGGUUUCCUUUUGUUUAAUAAUUACAAUAAAUGGUUUUUUAUUUUAUUGGCUGGGGGCAACUGGGAUUCUGAUUACCUAUUCUUUUUCAUUUGACAUGGCUAAUGAAAACUUUCAACUUUACCCCUUGCCAAGUUUGGUGGGUCUUUAGCACAAUAUUAUUUGCAACUUCUGGACUUUAAUGGAUUGCUUGGUGCUAUUGUUUACCUAAGGGAGGGAAACUGAAAUGUCGUUUGAUUUAUGGGUUAUGAAUGGAUCAUGACUAGACAUUUAGUAUUGAAUCUGUUUCUGGAGUUGAGAGGCCAUUGGGUUUUUGGAAAAAUGGUGAAUUGUUUCUUGGGGCUCAAAUCAUGAACUAGUGUUGUUUGAAUCCUGCACCCGAGAGCUUAAGAAUCUUGGUAUCCAUGCUUAUCAGAAUACAAUGCAGCUUAUUCCUUAUGUUGAGAGCUUGGUUCCAAUCAAUGGAACAUCAGAGCAUGAGGAACAUAUAAUACGUCAGCCGGCUGGUAGAUAUUGAAAAGGAAGAGGGAAAGGGAAAUAGAACAAAAGGGCUAAGAAAAAAUGGUAAUUUUUUUUUCUCUUGGUAAAUACUUAUGCAGUUGAUAUUGACUAUGUUCCCUUGUGAGCUUCUCCAAUAAUGCUGUUAUUGUUUGGAUUUUAAACAAAAGUGUUAAAUAUUCUGUAAAAACCUAUAUGUUAAUGUCAUGUGACAAAAAAUAAUUGAUCUCAUCAUAUUUUUUUAUGGUUUAGAUAAAAAAAUUAUAUACAUAUAUUUAAUUUAUAUUAAAAAAUUUUUGAUAAUAUGUGAUGAAUACAUAAUUUGAUAAUAUUUGUCAAACGAUGCAUGUAUAAAUCAAUAUGAUAAAUAAGAAUAAAGUUUAGGUUAAUAUAGUAUAUAAUUUAAAAUUUCGGAGUUUAUAAAUUUUAUAUUAUUUGAAAAUUCAAAAUAUAAAUUGUACAUUUUAUUUCUUGGCUAUCAUUUGGUACAUUUUUUUAUCAAAUUCAGAUAUAAAAAUUGUGAUUAACUCUUUUUUUUUUUUUUUCAAGUCAAAGUUAAAAGUGUAGUACAAAGAGGCUUACCGGGUGAAUAACCUAUUAGUCUAUUUGUCUUAUUUUCUUGUAUUCAAAAAAUAAGUUCAGAAAAUAAAAUAUCCUAAUUUUGAAUAUUUAACUUUCGGGUAAAGUACAUAAUUUAUCAUGAUCGUAUUUUUAAAAUAAUUAUUUAAUUAUUAAAAUUUUUAUUUAGUUACUAAAAUUUAAAUAAUUAAUUUUUUCAUUUAAUCAUUAAUCUCUAAAAAUAUACUAACAUGAUAAUACUUAAUCAAUUACCAAUUGUCAUGUGAAAGCACUAAAUCAUUAAAAGAAAAAAUGUAUUUUUAUGUAUUUAUAAGCGGAUCUCGAGGAAGUAAGCAAGUUAUUAUAUAUAUAAAUCCCAAGACGUCGGCAAAGAUUGUCGAAGCGCAGAAGGAAAAGGUACAUUUCAUAAUUAUCCUAUUUAAUUUUUUUUCCUCUAAUUUCCCAGCAGUUUUAAGUUGAAUUUUGUUGUGCAUUGUGUUUGAGUAGCUUCCUUCUCAGCAGUAGAUACAUAAAGUUGAAGGGACUAAUUUAGGGAUAUUGCAUUUUGGAUGGUUUUUGCCACGAGCUCUUUAAAUCUCUCGGGAGGUGCCAUUGCUCUCCAAAAUUUGCUUUGCAUAGAUUUAGCAAAAACCGUUGUCCUAGCGUUGUCCUCCAUACGUAUAACUUAAAACUCUUAGUAAUAAAUUUUAACUAAUGAUCUUGUUGGACCCAAUAAGUCAAAAGGCCCAAAAUAUCAAGGUUGAGCCCAAGAAACCUGCAGAGGAAAAGUCAAACAGUUAGCUUCCUAAACGUCACCUGCAACUAACUGUAAUUAAAUUAUUAUAUUUUAUAUACUAUAAAUUAUUAAAUUAUUAAAUCUACCAAUAUUAUAUCAUAUUACAUGUUCUUUUAAAGAUUUGACUUACACUUUACUUGUCUUAACUCGAUAAAUAUAACAUUAAUUGGGUUCGUGUCAUGCAUAAAAUAUAUAAAAAAACUCCAAAUACGGGGUUGGAAGGUGAGGGCAUCUCCAUUCCCAACAUUUCAAGCUAAUUUCAAGCUUUGUUUACUUUCUUCUUUGUUCAAAUACUUACUUGAAAAUAGAAACGUGUCUCAAAAUUUUAAUUCCAUGUUCCUUUGACUUCUUUUAUAGGUCGAACAUGUCCUCAAUCAAGUCGCGUAUAGACUUCAACCCAUCAAACCCCAAAAACACAUGAACAGAUCUCAUCUGUAGCCAUGCAGUGAGGCAAAUUAACAAAUUUACAAAAAAGACAACCAUGUUUGGUACGGGACACAACGAUUUUGAAAAAAGAUAAGUAAGGUAAAUUAAUAAAUUCACAAGAAGACAAACAUAUUUGGUAUGAAAUAAGCCACAAGAAAAUUAUUCUUACAAGAAUAAACAAAUGUGUAUCUAAGAUCAUUUUUGCAAUAAACAAACUUAUAUAUAUAUAUAUAUAUAUAGAAAAAUGAGUAAAUUUUUCUUAAGAAAAAUUCUAUCUCGAGAUAUUAUUAUUCUAAAUCCGACAACUACCAUUAAUCGAAAAUGGGUGCGUAACAAAUGUGAACAAUUUUUGUGUGAGGUUACGUUUGAUAGGAGGAAAUUAAGAAAUAAACAAUAUAUGCAAAAAAAAUGUCCAAGGAAAAUUGAGGAAUAAUGUGAACAACCUUUAGACCUUAAGUUUCCUAAUGAUAACAGAAACUAAAGAAAAAAAAUGGCAGCCUAAAGAUAGGAGAAUAGGUUGCAAUUUAAUGGAAAAAAAAUUGUAACUUAAUGAUAAAAAAAAAUUGUAGAUAUUAAAAUUUAAAUUUUAAAUAUAUUAAAUGUUAAUUUUAAGAUAGAUUACAUAAACUAAUUGAAUUAAAUCUUGAAUUCAAAUUGAACAGACCUUUUAAUGAUACUCUCUUAUAAGUAAGAUUCAUAAUAAUCAAUAAAACAACCUUCCCUAAUUGCAAGAACUCUCUAAUGACAUAUUAAAAACAUGUAGAAAGGUAAAUUAACAAAUGCUCAAAAAAAAAAAAGACAAACAAGUUUGGUAGUCAAUAAGCGACAAAAAAUUCUUUGGAUGGACGAUAUUUAAAAUCGAUUGAGAACCAAGACACUGUCAUUCUGAUCAAGCAAAACUACUUAAUAAAUACCAUGUUCACAUAAAAAUCACAGCCAUGAUAGAUGCUGCUCACAUGCAUGAACUGAUCUCUAAUGAAUUUUUUCAAACUUCUCUAAAUUUGCUAUGAAUUACUAUUCGUUGUUGUCCAAAAUAUGAUUAACCUCCUCUUUCAAAAAAAUCCAAAAAAAAAAAAAAUUGUAUGAAAAAGAUUUUGUUUAUCUCAUUAUAUCUAGGGAAAAUGAGCUUAUAGUUUACUAAAAUAGAAAUCUAGUCAUGAUACAUUAAGUUUUAAUAAAUUAAGUAGGUAAACUAUUUAAUCAUAUGAGAUUUAUCAUGGUCAAAAUAAAAAGUUAUAAAAUCACUUUUAUUUAUCAUGUCUAACAUCGAUCUACUACAUUUAGGAUUAAAUUUAAAAUUUUGUUUUCGGGAUACUCCUUAAAAAGAUCAUAUCUUGAUUAAUAAGAAAAAUGAACUUCUAUCAUUAUCAAUUAAAUUAAUCCUUGGGGGUUGUCCAUAUGCAAAUUAUGAAAAUGUGAUAAUUAAUGUAAUUGUCUAAGUAAAAUGAAAUCUCACUACCAUGUAGAGUUCCAUUGUACACGGAUAUUAGUGUUAUCAAAAUCGCCCUCUUGAAUAAUGCAAUAGACAACCAUAUAGAGUUGUUGAGUGUUAGUAGAAAGCAAAAUUGGUACUGCUUGUAACAAUGCCGUCGUAUUUAUGAGCGGCUGCUGCUAUGGUCGCUUGUGUCUCAGCCUGGUUUGGAUUAAAUCUACAGCCAUUUACCUUGAACACCCUCAGGCUCCAGCAACAAUUUGCUACCACAACAGCUCCGAAAGCACCGCCAGGGCCGUUCACCUUCCACAAACUCAGUCUGCAAUGGCCACCUGCUGCAUGUAACUCUGGCCAGAUGACUUGCAAACCACCUAUCCCUCGCGAAUUCACCAUCCAUGGUAUAUGGCCACAAUAUAGCAAUGACAAUCAAGUGCCCCCUUACAAUCCAAUUACAAAUCGUUGUACCAAUGUCACACCUACUCCUGCCAGUAAUCUCCUAGUACGCACAUGAUCAUAUUAUCAAUAUUUUAGAAUUUUUACUUUCCUUUAUCUGAAAUUAUAUUAAUUUGUCAGUUAUCUAACAAAAUUUUCUGCCCUUCUUUUUUUUUCCUUGUAUAAAAGAAUGAGCUGAAUCCAAUUCUAAACAACUUAUCAUCACUAUGGCCUAACUUAACGGAUCCUCAGGACUUGAGCUCAAACCUCAAAUUUUGGGAACAUGAAUGGAAAAAGCAUGGAAUGUGUUCUGAUUACCCUGACCAACCUCGUGACUACUUCAACUCUGCCUUACAGCUCAGGAGAGGCUUAAAUCCAGGUGACUAUUUCUAGUAUAUACUUAAUUAAACCUCACUCUUUUAUGAACCAAAUAGCUGGGAACUCAUGUUACUUCCACUUCCUAACAUAUUUUCUCUGAUAUGCUUUAAUUAUUGUUUGGAUCCAGUUAUGGGACUUGCACCUGGAUCAAAUUAUACGGUACAACAAGUUGCUGCUAAAGUUCAAUCAGCAGUAGGAGCCUUUCCGGAGAUUAAUUGCAACAAAGUGAAUAACAUAGUCCAACUGAAGGAGAUUCGUUUAUGCUACAUCAGGGCAACGCCUCCCCAGACGGUCCAAAACUGUCCAAAAAUUGGAUCAGGCGAUUGUAAAAACCGGAAUGAUAACAUAACUUUCAUUAGCUAGUGCUGCUCUCCUCAUAAAAUCUUUGAAUAAUGUCUAAAAAUAAUGGUUGUAACACUUCCGCUUGCACCACCGUCAAAAUUUAAGGUUUACACUUAUCUACCCGUAUUUUUAAGAAAUGUUAAUCACUAUCAAACUGUUUAAACGGAUAUUUAAAAUAAAUACGUAAUCAAUGAAUUAUCUGUUUUUGAAUUUAAUAAAAUUAAUGCGAAUAUAAAAAUUUAUAAUUCAAUUGAUUCAUGUAAUUUUAUAAUAUUAAAUAUAUUUAAAAUUUAAAUUUUAUGACCUAUUGUCCGGUGAAUUCUUUCGAAAAAAUAAUGCAUUUAAAUAAAUUUUUUUUUAAGUAAAAAUGAAUCCAUGAGAGAAAAAACGUCUAAUUCAAGAUAUUUCUACCAUGAGAUCAUUGUUCUCAACUUGAAUAUUAUCAAUAAUAUUGAGAAUAGGUUGCAUAUAUGACAAGUUUCUUGUUAGAAAGCUUGGGAAUUGGUUAUGCUCCAUCAAAGUCAAAUGAUGCUUGGUAGGAAGAAAGAAAUUUAAUGUCAACGUGGAAAAUAUGUUUUUUACCCAUAAAAUAUAUUAGUUGUGUGUAAUAUGAAUUUAAGAUUUAAUUUAAAUGAUUUAUUACUUAAUUUAUGCAAAGUUUAGAAGCUCUCUUUCCCAACAAACAAACAAAGAAUAUUGAUAAAAUAAAUGUAAAAUGGUGAGAAAAGAAAAAUAAGAAAUUAAAAAGAAAAGUUACAUAUUCUGUUUCUCACUUGCAGAAGUUAAACAUAGAAUCUCAAUGUGUAAAUUCAAUUUUCCUAUAUUUCACAAAAAAAAAAAAUUCAAAGAUAAAAUAGAUAAAUAAUCACUUAAUUUUAUAAUUUAUUUAAAUAAUUAUUUAAGUAUUAAUUUUUUAAAUUUAAUCAUUUAAAUUUAAGUAAAUGAUUUUUUAUUAUUUAACUAUUAGUGAGCAAUGAUAUAAUUAUCUUGUUAACUAUUAGGUGUCACAUGAUACUGACAAUUCAUCUUGACAAUAUGAUAUUAUAAUUUUUGAAAAAUAAAUAAAUUUCAACUAUUUAAUUUUUAAAAAAUUUUUAUUUUGAUCGCUAAUCCUUAUAAAUUUAUAAUUUGAUCAUUAAUAAAUAAAUUUUUAAAUUUUAUAAAAAAUAUAAAUAAUAAUUUGAUAUUUUUAUUAUGUGAAAUUAAAUUAUAAAAAAAUACUUACUCAAACUUAAUAUAUUAAAUUUAAAAAUUAAUAUUUAUUCUUAAAAUUAAAUGUCUAUUUAUGUAUUUUACCCAAAAGUCAAUUGUCAAUCGUAGCUGCAUUAAUGAUGUUGAACUAACCCAAAAGAAGAGGCUCUUCUUCUCAUUAAACGGAUGUAUCUUAUCAAAUAGGAGUUUUUUUCCCUACACAUCUCGGCGACCACAAAUCUCACCGACAAAGAUGACAAAAGAAAUCAGAAAAGAAUUUUUUGUGCAUAAGCGGCCUUGAGCUGGCAGCUAUCUUGAAUUGAUAAACAAAAAAUUUUAUUUUUCAGACUGUAACUUAUAUAAAAUAGAAAACAAAUUAGACCAAAUAAAUUAAUAUUUUGAUCAAAAUUUUGUUAAUUUUUAAAAUAUUAAUUUGAUACCCAAAUAAGAUGAUUACUGUAGAAUUCCCAUCUAGUCACGCCUAAUGAGAUUACGACGGGCAACAAUUUGAUGAAAUUAGUUAAAAGAACAGUACCAAAUUUUUUAUUAAAAAUAUUUAAUAAAAAUAUUUUAAUAAGAUUCAAUAAAAAAAUUAUACUGUGACAAAAUCUUCCCUUGAAGAUCACCUUUCUUUUUCCCAAACCCAAAUGUUCUCUUCAAUAUGUCAGUUUCAUUUUUUGUUGAUAAAAUUCAGCCAAAGUAUUAACACAAUCUUACGUUGAUACCUCGUUAUUCUUGCAGGUAAAUCGCUCUCUACUCUCAACUCUAAAUUUAUUUCUUUUUUUUUUUUUGUUAAUUAUUAUAUUUAAUUUUUUAUGGCAGUCUACUGUAUUUGUUCAGUUCUAAAGUUUCAGUUUUGUUUAUUUAUCUGUGGUCGAAGCUAAGUUCUUACCGCAACUCUGGGUAUUUCAUUUCAAAUAUUUUAAUAUUUUUUAUUUAUUUAAAAAAUUACAUGUACAAGAAUUUUCCUAUUCGUUAAAUCAUCACGAUAUCAACCAACUUAAAUAAAAAAAUAGAAUAAGAAUGAAGAAUGCUUAAUCCCUAAGUAAUCACUUUGUAGUUUUGUCAGUUUUGUCUUUUUAUUCAAUCUAAAAUUAUAAUUCAAUGCAGUAUGCCUUACCUCACCUAGCGAAUAUAAAUAAGAUCAUUAAUCAGAAACAGAGGAAAUAAAAAACAUAACAGAGGGAAAAUGCAGGGGUGGAGCAAAUGCAGAAUUGAGCUACCAGAGACGGUGGUGAUGGAAAUCCUCUCAAAGCUUCCUGUUAGAUCCCUCACACGUUUCAGGUGCGUUUGUAAGCGGUGGUGUUCUUCUUUUCAAACCUCUCAUUUCAGUACAAAACAUCAGCAUAACAACCUCAAAAACAACAACCUUAAUCUCCUCCUCAAACGUUGUCAUGGUAACACCCAUGAUGACAUCCAUUAUUUCUCUGCACUUUCAACUGAAAAAGGCCAAAACUUUUUAGUAAAAGAGAACAUUCACUUACCCUUUUUUCAGAAUUGUUGGUUUGCUCCUGUAGUUUCUGGUCCUUGUAAUGGAUUGCUGUGUUUACAUGACGCUGGUAAGGUUGCCCUUUGG